ensembl:lncRNA
ACUUUCCCAUCCAAAACAACCUCGCUCCCCAAGUUUGGCAUGAGCAUUUUUCAACUUUUUCAUCUGAGAAACGGUGUUCGUCCCUUUGCAUCUGAUUCACGCCUUCUGCUGUCAUACAAAUUGUAUGUCUCAGCUUUUUUUUUUUUGCAAGUCACGUACUUCCAACUCAGAUUUAGGCAUGUCUGUAUGGCUCACACAGUGACACCCAAUCCAGCAAUACACAACAGGCUCAAACUAUACCAUGAUCGAGCCUGAGGGGGAGUAAUCUGUUUUAUUUGGAACAAGAAAUAAAUUGGAAGGAAACAUAGCUUGAAGACAGACUUUGAAGAUAACAGAGGAAGGACAGAUGAGAAAAUUAUUAAGGUUUUUAAGGGUUUUCUCUUUUUCUUAAGAAUAUUAAAAUGUUAAUUAAAUGUUACAUUUACCCAUUGCCUUUUUGGCAAAUGCUCUACAAAUUAUAAUAAUAUCACAAAAGGUUCAGAAAAGAAAUGAAAGAAAAUCACCUGUAACUCUUCAACUCUGACAGUAACUUUGAUAUUGUGUGGUAUCUCUCUAGUCUUUAUUUCAUAUUCAUAUAUUUUUAAUACUGUGCAGGUAAUGUUGUAUCAUGUUCUUCAUGCUGGUUCCUGUGGUCUUUAUGAGUAUCCUAUUUAUUAGACACUCUGUAACCUGCAUUUCGUGGGCCCUCCUGACCUCUCUGCAAAGUGUUCUCCAAAAUGUGCUUGGGAGUCGCCGCCAGGAAUGGGCGCCUCGCUUGAAUUCCUACCUGUUCAGCGGUCACAUGUUUUCUUUAAUACACCACCAUGUUUUCAGGCAAGCUGAGUCUUCAAAAACUGAUGUUUCCUCCGCCAUCAUCUUUCUUGGAUACCAUGGACUUUUGUUUAGCCUCUCAAAUCACCCACCUGAUUUCACUCACAGAUAGUGGAAGGGUUCCUGGUUAGGCUGAUUGGAAGCCAAGUGCCUUUCAUUCUGUGGCUCUGGCCUCCUGUUAGGUCCUUGGAGUACUCAGACGGGGACAAUGACAGUGAAGAAGGCAUCCUUGCUUUCCCAUCACUUUUACCCAAGAAGGACACAGACUGUACUUGCUUACAUUCCACUGGCAAGAACUAGUCAUCUGACUUU